rfam:Gossypium arboreum cultivar AKA8401 contig_3703_5, whole genome shotgun sequence.
UGUUAAAAAUUUCAUCCAUUUUUACUGUUAAAAACUGAUAUUAUUGACAGAAUAACUAAACAUUUACAUUUGAUGUGCCACGUCUACCUCAUUCUAACAUACAAGACCAAUUUUUAACGAUAGAAAUGAAUGGAUUUUUUAAUG